AGUCGAGCGGGGAGANGUAGCUUGCUACAUUUCCUAGCGGCGGANGGGUGAGUAAUGCUUAGGAAUCUGCCUAUUAGUGGGGGACAACGUUUCGAAAGGAACGCUAAUACCGCAUACGCCCUACGGGGGAAAGCAGGGGAUCUUCGGACCUUGCGCUAAUAGAUGAGCCUAAGUCAGAUUAGCUAGUUGGUGGGGUAAAGGCCUACCAAGGCAACGAUCUGUAGCGGGUCUGAGAGGAUGAUCCGCCACACUGGGACUGAGACACGGCCCAGACUCCUACGGGAGGCAGCAGUGGGGAAUAUUGGACAAUGGGGGGAACCCUGAUCCAGCCAUGCCGCGUGUGUGAAGAAGGCCUUUUGGUUGUAAAGCACUUUAAGCGAGGAGGAGGCUCUUCUAGUUAAUACCUAGGAUGAGUGGACGUUACUCGCAGAAUAAGCACCGGCUAACUCUGUGCCAGCAGCCGCGGUAAUACAGAGGGUGCGAGCGUUAAUCGGAUUUACUGGGCGUAAAGCGUACGUAGGCGGCUUUUUAAGUCGGAUGUGAAAUCCCUGAGCUUAACUUAGGAAUUGCAUUCGAUACUGGGAAGCUAGAGUAUGGGAGAGGAUGGUAGAAUUCCAGGUGUAGCGGUGAAAUGCGUAGAGAUCUGGAGGAAUACCGAUGGCGAAGGCAGCCAUCUGGCCUAAUACUGACGCUGAGGUACGAAAGCAUGGGGAGCAAACAGGAUUAGAUACCCUGGUAGUCCAUGCCGUAAACGAUGUCUACUAGCCGUUGGGGCCUUUGAGGCUUUAGUGGCGCAGCUNACGCGAUAAGUAGACCGCCNGNGGAGUACGGUCGCNAGACUAAAACUCAAAAUGAAUUGACGGGGGCCCGCACANNCGGUGGANCAUGUGGUUUAAUUCNAUGC
rnacentral:rRNA from 1 species